rnacentral:ncRNA from 1 species
CGAAGUAGGAAACGGCGCGUUAAGUUGUCAGCGGCUGGGGAGUCGCCCUGAACCGAAAAGUCCAAAAAGAAGUAAGGACUUGCGAUGCUGUUUUCGCACCCGUUG